ensembl:piRNA 21ur-1608 ncRNA
UCGCUUACCCAAUUCGAAAGU